rnacentral:rRNA from 1 species
UACGGAGGGUGCAAGCGUUAUCCGGAUUUACUGGGUUAAAGGGUGCGUAGGUGGGUAGGUAAGUCAGUGGUGAAAUCUUCAAGCUUAACUUGGAAACUGCCAUUGAUACUAUUUAAUCUUGAAUACUUUGGAGGUAAGCGGAAUAUGUCAUGUAGCGGUGAAAUGCUUAGAUAUGACAUAGAACACCAAUUGCGAAGGCAGCUUACUACACAGUAAUUGACACUGAG